AUUAAUGGCACUUGAUUUUGUUUUAUAAACUUGAUCCUUUUUCAGUUCAGGACAUAACAUGUUAUCACCAAACAUCAACAUUACUUCAACUUUAUAAAACAAAAUCAAGUGCCAUUAAUGCAUUGCACAACGAAACAACAUUAAUGACUUAAACAUAGCUGUCAAUUAAUGAUUUCCUCAUUUCAUCUACUAUGGCACUUGGCUGAGCUUCUCUCAGCUUGAAAACACUCUCAAUUACAGACAGUUCAGUAGCUGUGGUAUCUGACCCACAGAAUGCUGUCCAGUCAUUCACAGUCAUGCCAGCAGCUAUCAC
rnacentral:misc_RNA from 1 species